rnacentral:rRNA from 1 species
GGUGCAAGCGUUGCUCGGAAUCACUGGGCGUAAAGGGUGCGUAGGCGGCCGCGCAAGUCUGAUGUGAAAGCCCUGGGCUCAACCUGGGAAUUGCACUGGAUACUGGCAGGCUAGAGUGCGGUAGAGGAUGGCGGAAUUCCCGGUGUAGCAGUGAAAUGCGUAGAGAUCGGGAGGAACAUCUGUGGCGAAGGCGGCCAUCUGGACCAGCACUGACACUGAGGCACGAAAGCGUGGGGAGCAA